rnacentral:rRNA from 1 species
AUUGAACGCUGGCGGCAGGCCUAACACAUGCAAGUCGAACGGUAACAGGAAACAGCUUGCUGUUUCGCUGACGAGUGGCGAACGGGUGAGUAAUGUCUGGGAAACUGCCUGAUGGAGGGGGAUAACUACUGGAAACGGUAGCUAAUACCGCAUAACGUCGCAAGACCAAAGAGGGGGACCCUCGGGCCUCUUGCCAUCGGAUGUGCCCAGAUGGGAUUAGCUUGUUGGUGGGGUAACGGCUCACCAAGGCGACGAUCCCUAGCUGGUCUGAGAGGAUGACCAGCCACACUGGAACUGAGACACGGUCCAGACUCCUACGGGAGGCAGCAGUGGGGAAUAUUGCACAAUGGGCGCAAGCCUGAUGCAGCCAUGCCGCGUGUAUGAAGAAGGCCUUCGGGUUGUAAAGUACUUUCAGCGGGGAGGAAGGGAGUAAAGUUAAUACCUUUGCUCAUUGACGUUACCCGCAGAAGAAGCACCGGCUAACUCCGUGCCAGCAGCCGCGGUAAUACGGAGGGUGCAAGCGUUAAUCGGAAUUACUGGGCGUAAAGCGCACGCAGGCGGUUUGUUAAGUCAGAUGUGAAAUCCCCGGGCUCAACCUGGGAACUGCAUCUGAUACUGGCAAGCUUGAGUCUCGUAGAGGGGGGUAGAAUUCCAGGUGUAGCGGUGAAAUGCGUAGAGAUCUGGAGGAAUACCGGUGGCGAAGGCGGCCCCCUGGACGAAGACUGACGCUCAGGUGCGAAAGCGUGGGGAGCAAACAGGAUUAGAUACCCUGGUAGUCCACGCCGUAAACGAUGUCGACUUGGAGGUUGUGCCCUUGAGGCGUGGCUUCCGGAGCUAACGCGUUAAGUCGACCGCCUGGGGAGUACGGCCGCAAGGUUAAAACUCAAAUGAAUUGACGGGGGCCCGCACAAGCGGUGGAGCAUGUGGUUUAAUUCGAUGCAACGCGAAGAACCUUACCUGGUCUUGACAUCCACGGAAGUUUUCAGAGAUGAGAAUGUGCCUUCGGGAACCGUGAGACAGGUGCUGCAUGGCUGUCGUCAGCUCGUGUUGUGAAAUGUUGGGUUAAGUCCCGCAACGAGCGCAACCCUUAUCCUUUGUUGCCAGCGGUCCGGCCGGGAACUCAAAGGAGACUGCCAGUGAUAAACUGGAGGAAGGUGGGGAUGACGUCAAGUCAUCAUGGCCCUUACGACCAGGGCUACACACGUGCUACAAUGGCGCAUACAAGAGAAGCGACCUCGCGAGAGCAAGCGGACCUCAUAAAGUGCGUCGUAGUCCGGAUUGGAGUCUGCAACUCGACUCCAUGAAGUCGGAAUCGCUAGUAAUUGUGGAUCAGAAUGCCACGGUGAAUACGUUCCCGGGCCU